AAUUCUCUUUUUAAUUCUCUCACUGGCUACACUUAGCAGCUUAGAGGGAGGAAAAUUCAUCCAAUUAAUUAAAGAAAAACUGCAAGAGAGAAAGAAGGCCUCCUGAAGUGGGGGUGAUCUCUGUCUCCACCCCCAAUGAGUUCAUCAACAUGAGAAUGAUUAUCGGAAGAAGAACUGGCCGGAGGUAAUCAUUAUCUCCCGGAUGCUUCGGUGCCUGCCCCGCUGACCUCAAGUAUUCCUUCUCUCUCCUGGCGUUUGAGAAGGGUGCUGACACAGCUCUGGCUGAAGCCCAGACCAUGCCUCGAAAAGACAAGAGAAACCUCGAAUGACCCUCAGCCCUCCAACACUGCCAUCCCCCUGAGAAAGCCCGCCCAACGAAGGGCUUCGGUUCUCAGUUCAGCACAAAGCUGCCGGAGAAGCAACUGAAGGAAGAAAUGGUUCAUUCUGGCUUACAUCCAAGGAAGAGUUCAUCAGGUAGUAGCAGCUUGAAGCAGUUGGCCGUGUGGUAUCCACAGUCCAGGGUUGGAAUGCAUGCUAGUGCUCAGACAGGCUUCUCCAUGGUGGAAGCCCAGGAUCCCAGCCCAAGCAAUGGUCCCACCCACAAUGAAGCUUCUAAAACGUGGUCCUCUGUGAGGCCUGGCAUCAGGAGAAAGUGAGUUCUACAGCACAGCUACCUGGAGGAUGAGAGGACCUUAAGGUGCUUUCAACCCCAAUUCAGAAAGGCCUUAGCAGCCGGCUUCCUGUGCUCAGCACCCUCUGAGGCCUGUGGGAGGAAGGGUGGAACAGAAGGAAGAACAGGCUCUGUGGUGGUUAUUUUUCUAUUGUCAGAAAAAUUGACAGCAUCUAGAAUCAGCUGGGAUGGGAGAGAUUGUCCAGAUCAGGUUGGCCUGUGGGCAUGUCUGUGGGGGAUUGUGUUCAUUACAGGAAUUGAGAUGGGAAGAACCACCCAUUGUGGGUGGCACCAUUCCCUAGGAAGGGAAUUCUGAACUGCAAAGGCCAAGAGAGAAGCUGGGCAGCAGCAUGCAUGCAUUAGUUUGUGGCCCCCUGCCCUUGAUUGUGGGUGUGAUAUGACUAACACAUUGGCUUGACCUCCCAGAAGUGAUGGACGGAAACCUGAAAUUGUG